rnacentral:rRNA from 1 species
UACGUAGGGUGCGAGCGUUAAUCGGAAUUACUGGGCGUAAAGGGUGCGUAGGCGGGUCUUUAAGUCAGGGGUGAAAUCCUGGAGCUCAACUCCAGAACUGCCUUUGAUACUGAAGAUCUUGAGUUCGGGAGAGGUGAGUGGAACUGCGAGUGUAGAGGUGAAAUUCGUAGAUAUUCGCAAGAACACCAGUGGCGAAGGCGGCUCACUGGCCCGAUACUGACGCUGAUGCACGAAAGCGUGGGGAGCAAACAGG